CUCCUCUUUUUCUUCUCCGCUUUUGUUUCUCCUCCUUUAUUCUUUUGCAUCCAUCCCGUUUUUGUUUCUCCUCCUUUAUUCUUUUGCGUCCGUCCAUAUUUUGUUCCACGUCAAUAUUCUAUUUUUUCCCUUUUUUGUCUAAUUUUUGGUGGUUUGAUUUUUAGGACAGUCUAACGACGGUGCUGAAGGUUACGAGGCUUUGUCCAUGGUAGAGUUGGGAUAGGCUACUAAAGAAUAAAGGCUAACGGUGGUGUUGAAGGUUACGGCGCUUUGCCCAUGCAAGGGUUGCAACAAUAGGACUCGAGGUUACUGUUCUUUUUCGAGAGAAGUUGGAAGAACACAUUAAAGUUGUCAUUUUUAUCUCAAAAACUCCAUGACUACAGAUGCUGUGAGCAAUCUGCAGAAUUGCAACUAUGGGGAUGGUGAAACUGCAACUGAGGAGGUGAAAAAGAGUUACUAUGUUCUGAGAAAAAUAGAGUGAUGAUGACCCCAUUUUGAUUGAUGAAGAAAUUUUUAUGUUACUUUGUUUUGACAGUUUAAAGUUGUAAUUUAAUCAUUAUGGUUUCCAGACAAUGCAUUUUAUUGUUUACAGUUCGCUGAAAAACGUAA